rnacentral:rRNA from 1 species
AUACGGAGGGUGCAAGCGUUAUCCGGAAUCACUGGGUUUAAAGGGUGCGUAGGUGGCUUAAUAAGUCAGAGGUGAAAGGCCGUAGCUUAACUAUGGGACUGCCUUUGAUACUGUUGAGCUUGAGUUUGGCUAAGGUAGGCGGAAUGCGUCCAUGUAGCGGUGAAAUGCAUAGAUAUGACGUAGAACACCGAUUUGCGAAGGCAGCUUACUAGACCAUAACUGACGCUGAGGCACGAAAGCGUGGGUAGCGAACAGGAUUAGAUACCCUGGUAGUCCCACGCCCUAAACGAUGUUUACUCGAUGUCUGGAUUGUAGAUUUGGGCGUCCAAGGGAACCGAUAAGUAACCACCUGGGGAGUACGUUCGCAAGAAUGAAACUCAAAGGAAUUGACGGGGUCCGCACAAGCGGUGGAGCAUGUGGUUUAAUUCGAUGAUACGCGAGGAACCUUACCUAGGCUAUAAUGUGAUCGCCUAAUGAUGAAAGUUAUUAUUCCC